rnacentral:rRNA from 1 species
CUACGGGUGGCAGCAGUGGGGAAUAUUGGACAAUGGGCGAAAGCCUGAUCCAGCCAUGCCGCGUGUGUGAAGAAGGCCUUCGGGUUGUAAAGCACUUUCAGUGGGGAAGAAAGCCUUGGGGCUAAUACCCUCGAGGAAGGACAUCACCCACAGAAGAAGCACCGGCUAACUCCGUGCCAGCAGCCGCGGUAAUACGGAGGGUGCGAGCGUUAAUCGGAAUUACUGGGCGUAAAGCGCGCGUAGGCGGUCUGAUAAGCCGGUUGUGAAAGCCCCGGGCUCAACCUGGGAACGGCAUCCAGAACUGUCAGGCUAGAGUGCAGGAGAGGAAGGUAGAAUUCCCGGUGUAGCGGUGAAAUGCGUAGAGAUCGGGAGGAAUACCAGUGGCGAAGGCGGCCUUCUGGACUGACACUGACGCUGAGGUGCGAAAGCGUGGGUAGCAAACAGGAUUAGAUACCCUGGUAGUC